rnacentral:rRNA from 1 species
GACGAACGCUGGCGGCGUGCUUAACACAUGCAAGUCGAACGGAAAGGCCCUGCUUUUGUGGGGUGCUCGAGUGGCGAACGGGUGAGUAACACGUGAGUAACCUGCCCUUGACUUUGGGAUAACUUCAGAAAACUGGGGCUAAUACCGGAUAGGAGCUCCUGCUGCAUGGUGGGGGUUGGAAAGUUUCGGCGGUUGGGGAUGGACUCGCGGCUUAUCAGCUUGUUGGUGGGGUAGUGGCUUACCAAGGCUUUGACGGGUAGCCGGCCUGAGAGGGUGACCGGCCACAUUGGGACUGAGAUACGGCCCAGACUCCUACGGGAGGCAGCAGUGGGGAAUAUUGCACAAUGGGCGGAAGCCUGAUGCAGCAACGCCGCGUGCGGGAUGACGGCCUUCGGGCUGUAAACCGCUUUCGCCUGUGACGAAGCGUGAGUGACGGUAAUGGGUAAAGAAGCACCGGCUAACUACGUG